GAAUGGAAGGAUAGGGAAUAACACAUUUCUCACCAUUCGUCUUGCAUAAUGAAUGUGUUUUCAAUGUCAGCAAACUUGCGGUUCUCGAAGAUCAAAAGGUUGCGCUUCUCAGCAAUCUUCAAAAAGAGUUCAUAAGAUCCCAUUAUAUAAAGGAUGCUGAAUUUGCAUAUUCAAUAGUGAACAACUCUGGUAACAAAAUAAAGGAGGCAUCUACCCAUAAUCAUAAGAGAAUUACAUCCUGUACUUGCUAAACUGAUCCUUCUCCUAGUAGUUGGCGUCCUCCCCCUCCAUAAAUAUGGCAGAAAUCAUCCAUCAACAGAGCUUAAAACAGGAUGGAAGGUGAAAAAAGCUCGUCAAGUUGAACCCACAAGCAUGGACGCUAU
rnacentral:lncRNA from 1 species